GGGAUUACAAAUUAGAAGCGAACAAAAAAGGGGAAAGUAUAAAAAAAUCCAUCGACACAAAACUCACUUCUACCAACCAACUCCGAAGAGGGGUUUUCGUUGCUGAUUGUCGUUAUUACUAUUUUUUCCCGUUCUGCCCCCUCGGCCUACUGAAACUGAAAUACGUAAAUUCCGCACUUUCGAUUUGAUACCCCCAAAAAAAAAAUCAGGAGUAGAAGAAGAAGAAACCCUUAAGAAUUUAAGAAAAUUGGCAAAAAGAGAACAUGAAGACGACGAAAGGAGGCAAAUUGAUGAACCCUACGGACGCCUAUCGUAAGGAGCUCCGUAAGAAAGAACUCAAACGGAACAAGGAAAGAAAGAAGGUGAGAGAGGUAGGGAUUUUGAAGAAGGAUCCACAGGCAAUGAAGGAGCAGAUUGAGAAGUUAGAAAUGAUAAAGGCUGAAGGUGCUUUACACAAAGCAAGAAAACACACAAGAAGAGACAACUUCAAGACAUACUUAACCUUAUUUUAAAGAAAAGGAAGGAAUUUGAAGAUAAAAUGAAGGAGAAGGGUGAGACCCCUGUUAUGUUCAGUCACUUGGGGCAUCCUCGGAGAAGGACAACUGCAGAAGAAGAUGAGAGAGUGAAGCAUCCUAAACCUAAAGACUCUGUUUAUUAUCACUCUACUCCGAAUCCUACAGGGGCUCCAACACCUGGGAAACCACCAAUGUACAAAUCAUCAAUAGGACCUAAAAUUCCCUUGUCUGGUGCAUCAUCAAGUGCCGCUGCUUCUUCCUCCAGACUUGAGUUAGAGGAUACUUCUGUAGCUUUACCACCUCCACCUCCUCCUCCUUUGCCAGAUACCAGUAAAUAGGACUCAGGGGAUGCCUCUGAUGUUCCUGCUUCUUUGCCUCUACCACCCCCACCUCCUAUGCCACCCAAGCCUGCCACAAUGAACUUGGGUAUUCCUUUGCGUCCUCCCCCUGGUCCACCACCACCACCUGGUUCCCCAUCUAAAGAGCAAGUUACAGUUCAACCUCCACUGCCUCCACCUCCUCCCCUUCCGCAGUCUGUGCUGCCUCCUCUGCCUGGCACCAACAGAAAUGAAGGGGAGAAAAUAUCUCUACAGUCAGAUGACUCAACCUCCAAGGAGCUGGCUCAGGUCCCUGCAUCAGUUCGAGUAAGAAGGGAGACUGCUGCCCCAAAAGCAAAACCAAAGCCUUUACACUCAACCAUGACAAUGGCAGCCGAGCCCGUGGCUCCUGCCAUCGUGAAGCAAGAAUCAACCAGUUUAAAUUUUGGGCACAUUCUGAUUGUAACUGAUCAAAUUGUUGCCUUGUUAACUGACAAAACUAUAAUUUAAUAAGAACAGUUUAGGAGACCUUUCUUUUCUAUUUUUAUGUUCAUCUUCUUUCUUGUUAGUCACUUUGCUAUUUGAAAUUUUUUAUUUACUAAGUAAUUGUACUUGGCUUAUGUAAGAAUGAAUGACCUAGUAUUAUAAUCUAAAUUCGAAUCUUAAAUAAAUAAAUUAUUUGAAUUCGAGUACAA